UACAGAGGUGGCGAGCGUUGUUCGGAUUUACUGGGCGUAAAGGGCGCGCAGGCGGCCGAGCGUGUGGGGUGUGAAAUCUCCGGGCCCAACCCGGAAAGUGCGCUCCAAACUGCCCGGCUCGAGUGCGGGAUGGGGGAUCGGAAUGCAGGGUGUAGCGGUGAAAUGCGUUGAUAUCCUGCAGAACACCGGAGGCGAAGGCGGAUCCCUGGAACGCAACUGACGCUCAGGCGCGAAAGUCGGGGGAGCAAAC
rnacentral:rRNA from 1 species